UACGAAGGGGGCUAGCGUUGCUCGGAAUCACUGGGCGUAAAGCGUGCGCAGGCGGUUUUGUAAGUCAGAUGUGAAAUCCCCGGGCUUAACCUGGGAACUGCGUUUGAAACUACAAGGCUAGAGUGUGGCAGAGGGGGGUGGAAUUCCGCGUGUAGCAGUGAAAUGCGUAGAGAUGUGGAGGAACACCGAUGGCGAAGGCAGCCCCCUGGGUUAACACUGACGCUCAGGCACGAAAGCGUGGGGAGCAAACAGG
rnacentral:rRNA from 1 species